rnacentral:rRNA from 1 species
CAGCAGCCGCGGUAAUACAGAGGGUGCGAGCGUUAAUCGGAUUUACUGGGCGUAAAGCGUGCGUAGGCGGCUUCUUAAGUCGGAUGUGAAAUCCCUGAGCUUAACUUAGGAAUUGCAUUCGAUACUGGGAAGCUAGAGUAUGGGAGAGGAUGGUAGAAUUCCAGGUGUAGCGGUGAAAUGCGUAGAGAUCUGGAGGAAUACCGAUGGCGAAGGCAGCCAUCUGGCCUAAUACUGACGCUGAGGUACGAAAGCAUGGGGAGCAAACAGGAUUAGAGACCCCAGUAGUCCCUGUCUCUUAUAA